rnacentral:lncRNA from 1 species
AUGCGCCCAGGCCCCUCGCGGGCCGCCGCCGCCGAAGCCCCGGGGGCCGGAAGGAGCCUGCGCAGCCUCUUGCCACGUGACCAGCACUCCCUCCCUCUACGUAACUCCCGCUCCCCUACCCAGCCCCGCCCCGUGUGGGAGUUCCUCCGGGAGGGCCAAUCUUCCGGGUGUAGGGGGAAGCGGCGUGACUGGAGUGGAAAAUUUUUCCAACACAAUUUCGCAGCUGCAACAUAUUGAAAGGAGCGCAAGAAACCCCGACUAUACACUGGGACGGCUGAAUGGAACUUCUGCUUUUCCUCUUGGCUGUAACCACUUGACUUGACACAAGCCCCAAUACGCUUUCCACCCUUCGUCUUGGUACGGUCCUUGGAGUACGGAGCC